rnacentral:rRNA from 1 species
CCUACGGGGGGCAGCAGUGAGGAAUAUUGGUCAAUGGGCGCGAGCCUGAACCAGCCAAGUCGCGUGAGGGAAGACGGUCCUAUGGAUUGUAAACCUCUUUUGUCGGGGAGCAAAAGACGCCACGCGUGGCGUUCCGAGAGUACCCGAAGAAAAAGCAUCGGCUAACUCCGUGCCAGCAGCCGCGGUAAUACGGAGGAUGCGAGCGUUAUCCGGAUUUAUUGGGUUUAAAGGGUGCGCAGGCGGAAGCGGCAAGUCAGCGGUAAAAUUGCGGGAGUCAACCUCGCCGAGCCGUUGAAACUGGUCAUCUAGAGUGGGCGAGAAGUAUGCGGAAUGCGUGGGGUAGCGGUGAAAUGAAUAGAUAUCACGCAGAACUCCGAUUGCGAAGGCAGCAUACCGGCGCCCAACUGACGCUCAUGCACGAAAGCGUGGGUAUCGAACAGGAUUAGAUACCCGGGUAGUC